UGCACCACCACUGCCUGCCAUAGUCCAGUCAUUAUUUAUCGUCUGCUUCUCCUUUGCAGGAGAGGCCGGUGAGAGCAAGGUCUGCCUGGGUCUGCUGUGGUGCUGGUGCCCAUCAGAAUCAAUGCCUGGGGAUGAAUCGGUGAAGGGGAAUGAAUUUGUUGGAUGAAUCAGUGAAGGGGAAUCCUGUGGCCGACUCACCAAGAGGAUCUCCACAAAGUGGAGAAGCCUCUAGAGAAGGCUGAGCCAGGCAUUUGGCAGGCAGACGUCCCUCACACAGGAUCAAGGGACCACAAGCCAGACAUGGCCUCUGUCCUGAGGGGAGAGGGAUGAUGGGCCGUCAACUACCGUGCGCUGCAAUAGGGCUGGGGGCCCAGGAGGGGGCACUCCACCCAAAUGAGGCGGUUGGGAAGGCUUUGUGGGGAGCAACAUUUUUCCUCCAUUAUCUGCAUUCUAGAAAAAAGGCACCAUUUGCACGGAGCUCUGAGGUGGCAAAGAGAGGACCCUGGAGAAUGAGAAGCGCAGGUGACUCUGCCUGGCAGGGGGCAGGGGCUGAGGUGCAGUCAGAGAGUCAAUGGGCCAAGCAGGUGUGACACUACCAGGUCCCGGGGAGCUUCCCGGCCACUUCUCUGGUGCCUGGCGAUGAGACUGGGCCUGCCAGGGGCAAGGAGACCUCGGGGUUGGCUCCAACUCAGAGCAGAGGAAGGACAGAGGCAGUGCACCACCAUCUUCUUCGCCCCCAUCCACACCUUCCAACAGUUGCCAACAGCAGCCUGGGAGUCUGUAGAGGUAAUCCAGGGCUCCAGGAGGGAUGACCUACUGCAGGACAGAGGCCCUGGCUGCAGAUCUAGGAACCUCCCUCCUACUAGGAAGAAGCACAUUGCCGUCAUUCAGUCUCUUGUGAGUUGGGUUAUUAUGAGUCUGUUCGCCAGAGUCUGAGCUCUGAAAGGGAUGAGUGACUGGAUUGGUAAGGCAGAGAACUGACCCUCCUCCCAGCUGCAGGGAACUGCCAAGUCCCAUUCUUCAUGACAUCCUUCCUGUGUUGACACAGUGUUCUCCCCUCUCUUUAAAAUAACAACCUUUACUUGACCCUGCUGCCCAGGAACUUUCCUCUAAGAUUCUGCCAGGCUAUGCAGAGGGCAGACGUGAAUGCAGGCUAUAAAUCAGGAGCCCUCGUGACUCUUAGAUCCAUUAAUCCAUCAGGAG
rnacentral:lncRNA from 1 species